GCGGAUGUAGUUCAGUGGUAGAACUUCAGCUUCCCAAGCUGACGGUGCGGGUUCGAUUCCCGUCAUCCGCU
rnacentral:tRNA from 1 species